UAGUAAACACUAUUUCUCCUACAUAUGAAGAAAUUGCACGCGACCUGGAAAAUCAGCUUGCCAACCUGGAUGGAGGAUAUGAAAAACUUACAACAACAAUGUCCAAACAAGGAGAGCAAUGGCACAGAGAAGUUGACAUCAUCAUCAACAAAAUGAAAACUGAAAUAAACAAGAUAAAAGUGAAACACAAAGACAUUUUACAUAAACAUUUGGAUGAAAUCAAACAGAUACAGUCUCUCAUAAAGCAAACACUUCUGGCCAUUAAAGAAAUUGAGAAAUCCACCGAAGUAUCUCCUGCCAUUAAAUACAACUCUAAGAUCAGAGAGUUCAGCAAGCUUCCACCCAAAGUUAAGGUAUCACUGCCAAAAUUCAUUCCAAAACCGAUAGACCGUGAGAAGCUGUAUAGUUUGUUUGGACAGAUCACCUCGUCAUCUACUGCUACUGAAGGAAAAAACUUGUCAUUGAACCAACCUACUACUUCAGUCAGAGAACUACUGGAUGAACCAGAGCUUGUUGCCACAAUACAGACUGGGCAUGAAAAACUACGCAAUGUGACCUGUCUGAAUGAUGGUAAUAUAUGGACGAGUGGAAAGACCAAUGAUAUCAAAUGCUUCAACAGUAAAGGGUCACUCCUCCAGACAAUCAAACAAAAAUCAGGUAUAUUCCCCAAUGGUAUAGCUGUAGACAGUGAUGGGGAUCUACUGUAUGCUAAUGGGGCAUCACUGACAGUAAAUAAAGUAAAGAACAAACAGACGAAAGAGUUGAUCAGAUUACAUAAUUGGGUGCCUAGUCAGCUGUGUGUCACAUCCACUGGUGAUCUCCUGGUUACCAUGUACAGUUAUGAUUACACUCAAUCCAAAGUUGUCCGUUACUCGGGAUCCACUAAGAAACAAACAAUUCAAUUUGAUGAUGAAGGUAAACCUCUGUACUCAGGGAAUAAUUAUAGUAAAUACACCACAGAGAACAGAAACCAUGACAUCUGUGUAGCUGACUGUGUGGCUAGUGCAGUAGUGGUGGUUAAUCAGGACGGGAAACUCAGAUGGAGAUACACCGGUCAUCCCUCAGUUACCAAAAAUGAACCAUUUAGACCCUUUGGUAUCACAACAGACAGCCAGAGUCGUAUCCUGACAGCAGACAUUGACAAUUAUUGUAUCCACAUUCUGGAUCAGAAUGGACAGUUUCUCCGUUACAUUGAUAACUGUGAUCUGGAGGCUCCUUUUGGUUUAUGUGUGGACAAUAAUGACAAUCUGUUUGUGUGUGAGUACAGCAAAGGCAAUGUAAAGAAAAUCAAAUACUUGAAAUAGAUACUGUAAUUUGUGAUUGAUGCCAACAAACAUGACUGCCAUUUUCUAAUCUUUUCACUGAAUAAUUCAAUAAGAUACAAUACGAAUUUCAUCAUACUUACAUGUAAUUAAUAUGUUCAUUCAUGUUUUAAUCAGUAAAAUGUGGUAGUAAAAAGUGUACAUGUGGUUUUAUUUUAGAUGGAAUUUGCCAAUGUCCUAGAUUGUUUUGAACAAUUAAAAGUGUGUUUUAAAGAUACAUUGUACCACUGGACUCAGAAUUCAUAUCAUGUGUAAUACCGGUAACUACAUGUACAUUGUGCAUUGUGUAUAUAAAUGUGUGUAGUGAACGUAAUAUUCUAUCAAACAUUCUUUUUAUUUUUUGGAAAAGCGCGGUAAAUACUGUUAUAGAUAUUCAAAAUUAAUAAUGUUCAUGUGAAAAGAAUGAACCACAAGGUGACAGUGUGAAUUUACAUAUUGUGGUUAUUUCACCGGUUGUUACGUGCGCUUUUGCGACUUCAAAGACGCGUGUGUAUGAAGUAUAAGAAUAAUGACAACACUGAUUUAAUUAAUUAAAUGAGGUAAAAUAAC
rnacentral:misc_RNA from 1 species